CCUGGCUCAGAGUGAACGCUGGCGGUUAGGCCUUAACACAUGCAAGUCGAACGGCAGCACAGAGGAGCUUGCUCCUUGGGUGGCGAGUGGCGGAGGGUGAGGAAUACAUCGGAAUCUACUCUGUCGUGGGG
rnacentral:rRNA from 1 species